AUGAAAAGGAGUCUAGCUGAUAAUUAGAUAUUAGAAGGUUAAAGUCCUUUCAAGUUUUG
rnacentral:tRNA from 1 species